UACGGAGGGUGCGAGCGUUGUCCGGAAUCAUUGGGCGUAAAGGGCGCGUAGGUGGCCCGGUCAGUCUUUGGUGAAAGCGCGGGGCUCAACCCUGCGUCGGCCAGGGAUACUGCCGCGGCUCGAGCACUGUAGAGGCAGGCGGAAUUCCGGGUGUAGCGGUGGAAUGCGUAGAGAUCCGGAAGAACACCGGUGGCGAAGGCGGCCUGCUGGGCAGUUUUGCUGACACUGAGGCGCGACAGCGUGGGGAGCA
rnacentral:rRNA from 2 species